GACGAACGCUGGCGGCGUGCUUAACACAUGCAAGUCGAACGGAAAGGCCCUGCUUUUGUGGGGUGCUCGAGUGGCGAACGGGUGAGUAACACGUGAGUAACCUGCCCUUGACUUUGGGAUAACUUCAGGAAACUGGGGCUAAUACCGGAUAGGAGCUCCUGCUGCAUGGUGGGGGUUGGAAAGUUUCGGCGGUUGGGGAUGGACUCGCGGCUUAUCAGCUUGUUGGUGGGGUAGUGGCUUACCAAGGCUUUGACGGGUAGCCGGCCUGAGAGGGUGACCGGCCACAUUGGGACUGAGAUACGGCCCAGACUCCUACGGGAGGCAGCAGUGGGGAAUAUUGCACAAUGGGCGGAAGCCUGAUGCAGCAACGCCGCGUGCGGGAUGACGGCUUUCGGGUUGUAAACCGCUUUCGCCUGUGACGAAGCGGGAGUGACGGUAAUGGGUAAAGAAGCACCGGCUAACUACGUG
rnacentral:rRNA from 1 species